rnacentral:lncRNA from 1 species
UGCUCUCCAUAUUUCAAUGCCCUAUGAUCUGUUGUUCUGAAAUCAAGUUACUGUUGCAUCCUCGCUGAGUUCUUGCUUGGACUGCUGUGGAUUUGAAGCUUCCUUAUGUUGCUGAAUGAAUACAGGAAAACAAAUAUAAGGUGACAUAAAUGAAUGUUGGGAAAACUACUAUAAACAAAUAUUCCUAGUACUGGUAAAACUACUAUAAACACCUUUCAUAUGUAGCAUGUAUGGUUGCUUGUCAGACUAGACCAGGGAAUGGGCCAUUCCUUGGUUCAAUCUGGGAUCAAAUCAAGAGUCCAGUUCCAAGGGUUGAAUCCUCCCAAAGAAGAAUUUGAGUACGGAGCCAAUCCACUUAACUUGUCUGUUCCAGGGAUCUUAAAAUCGACUUUACACUCUUCUCCCCAGAUUGGUCAUAGAGGAACCAGAAAUCAGAUUUAGAAUUUUUCCUUGUGCCUGGGUUUGCUGGUUCAUCAUAGACUGACAGAUUGAGGGUUGGAAAGUGAGUCAAAAGGCUGCUUCCAUGAAAAUCUUGUAUCAUCAUGAGAGGAAAACUGGUCCUAUUUGCUAAAGAAGAAACUGGUCCCAUUUGAUAUAUACAUCUUAAAAUUCUGGUUGUGUUCCUUAGGCGCCCCCUUAAUUCUUGGUUCUUGCUCCUCCAUUCGCACUUCUCUUCCUCACAUUUCUUGGUUAGUUGCCUCUAACCAAAAUCUACGCAUCUUUGUAUCCAAGAACACUUGUUUCUUAGCAUCUUUGUAUCCUGCCGAUCUUAAUCAGCACGGUUAAUAUGCGUCUAAUUUUCCAAGGUGUCUUAGAAUCCACCCUCUAAUUUUCAGUCUUUUUUCUAAAAAAUGUUGUUAAACGUAUUGAUUACUGAUCGUUACUCCUACACUUUUCAGAUUAAUAACAUAUUUGUCCUUAGAUUUCCUCCCAACUACAAAUUUUACCAUGCUUCAGAAUCUGGAACUGAUUGUAUCACUACAUUUGACCUAUGAAAUGGCAGAAAGCAUUUGAAAAGUCCUUUCUCAAAACAAGAGUGACCACAUCGACAACGCCUAGGAAUCUAACUGGGGACAAUAGGAAGCUUACAUUAGCUGCAUGGGCAGUUUUAAAGACUUAUUUUUGAAGUCUUUGGCACCAUGCAUAUUAACAAGUGGCCCGGGCCCUCUGGUUGGAGGGCCCUGCAAAAUGGUGAAUAUUGAUUGGACUAUACGUUGCAAAGUUUAGAUUUAUUGGUGACACGAAUACACUUGGGAGCUGGCUGAGCUCAUUGCUUCUGCUAAAUUAUCAUCUAGUUUCUCUGCUGCCAUGCUUUCUACCUAUAUUUGUGUCACAAUGUGGUCCUAUCGCAGUGUUCUUUUCUUUUCUCGAUUAAGGAAAAAAAUAGAAAAACAAUGCCAUCAUCUAAUAUAGAUUUCUGGCGCAAACCAUGCAAGGAUAAGCAGUCGGGAAAAAUCCCCUUGACAAGGCAAAUCAUAGAACAAUUGCUAGUUAUAUACAAUAACCCUGGCCACAAAAAAGGAAACUACCUGGGUUAAGGAAAUUCCUAAUUACACGUUUUUCCCGCAAUUUACAUUGGAAUUAAUAGGUGUGAAGCCCAGUUUGAUUUAGUAGAUUUAGUCACAUGAGAAAGGAAUAUAAUAUCUUAGGCUGCUUCCAUGAGAGUAUUUCAAUGACCUCAAACAGAAAGCAGGACCAAUAAUCGCAUGUUUUAUGAAAUAUGAUUGGGACUACAAACGCUGUGUUCCAGUUGAACGUGUUUUUUAACCUUCAUUUUACUUCAAUUGUUUCAGGAGCCUGUGCAAUUCGAGGAAGAUAUAAUUAAAUUCUGCAAAGAAACUAGUUUAUCUGUUGCACUAGAUGAAACCGUUGACAACAUCAAAGGCGAUCUUCUCAGUAAACUAGAAAAAUUUGUCCACCCAGGAAUCGUUGCUGUUGUAAGUCCAAAUUUAAGUUGCAUAGAAUUGUCAUCUGAAUAUGUCGUAUGUCGUCCAAACUACCUAUAACCUGAUUUAAUUUUCUGUCAGGUUAUCAAACCAAGUGUAGUUGGGGGAUUUGAAAAUGCAGCUCUGAUUGCACGGUGGGCACAGCAACACGAGAAGAUGGCUGUUAUUAGCAGUGCAUUUGAAAGUAGCCUGAGUCUGGCAUCAUAUGUUCUAUUUUCAUACCAUCUCGAGUGCCAAGCAGCAGCAAUAUCAAGGGCUAGGGGAAAUGAACCAAGGCCAGUGACUGCCCAUGGUCUUGGAACGUAUAGAUGGUUGAAAGAAGAUUUAGCAACCGAAACUAUCAGUGUUUCUACUCAUCCGAAUGGAAAUAUAAUGGAAGCUUCCGUAGAAGAUGCAGGGCAGUUGCUUCAGAGAUUCAAAACUGACAAAAGAACUAUCCGUAGAAGUUAUUGCGGGGAGCAAGUGAAGACAUACAGAUGGACCCUUGAUGAUGUGAAUUGUUCCUGCUCCAUCAAGGUCCAAGAGGUUGGAAUUGCAGAUGUAAGAAUCUCAGACCCUAGCAUCGCAUUUAGUCAACUGUCAUACGGCUUGAUCUCAUUUCAUCUUCUUAGCGGCAUCACUGCACAAAGGCUCUUAAAAAUUUGGUCUCAAUAUCAUUUAGAGUUUCUAAAUGCAGUUUUGAUGAUUUGCGAAGCCAUGUUGGCAUAGAGUCUACAAUCUUUUUGACUCUAGUGAUUCAUGAGGAUCAAGUUUAAAAAUGGCUUGGAUCUGGUUGGAAUUAAUAUAUUUUUUUCAUUUUAAUAGCGCUGGAAAAAUAUAAGGAUAUCAAACUAGGUAUCAAACUCUGUUUGAAAGCAUGAUUUGUACUACGCUUGAAACAUCUGGUCACUGGGAUCUUCCUUUUUCUUCGAGACCGAAUAAAUGAUACGAUGAGCCACUAACCUGCAUUUGGAACACCUACUCUAUUCACUGAUUCUUCAUUUUAAGGGCAUGUGAAAGCUUCGACUGAAUUUUUUUUCAGCUACUAAAUCACACACUUGUGGAAGAGAGAAAAAUAAUUUCUCAUGACUCACAAUUUUUCUCGUGGCAGAAUCCAGUGACCAUAUUUCUCCAUGGCUUUCUUGGUGCUGGCGAUGAUUGGAUUUCUAUAAUGAAGGCCCUAUCGGCCAGCGCUCGGUGCAUAUCUGUUGACCUUCCUGCACACGGGGAAUCAGAAAUAAAAUGGAAAAUGGACAACGGGGCCAAGAGUGAAACAAGUAUGACAGUUGAAUUGGUUGGUGAUAUUCUGCACAAGUUGCUCUCUGACGUCACUAGGAAAAAGGUCGUCCUCGUGGGAUAUUCACUGGGGGCCAGAAUUGCGUUGUACAUGGCAACUAAGUACAGUGACAAGGUCUGCUGAUCAUACUCAAUGCAAAUUUUUUUUUUAUCCUACUAUUUUACUUUGAUUAUUUUAUUCUCUAAUCGGAGGAAAAUUCCAUACAGAUCGAGGGAACUGUGCUGAUAUCUGGGAGCCCGGGGAUAAGGGAUGAUGCAGCCAGAAGAGCCCGACUUGCACAAGAUGAUGCGAGGGCUCGCUACCUAUCUUCCCACGGGUUGGAGUGCUUUCUGAAGACCUGGUAUGCGGCAGACUUGUGGACCAGGUGAUUUCCAUGCACACCUUGUGGCUCUCUAUUCUCAUUCAGACCAGUCACAAAAACAUUACCCAAAAAACCCAUUUCUAAAUCACAAGAGAUGGUAAGUUUGAUAAGAUAAACUUUGGGAAUUAAGUCCAAUAGGUGGCCUAAGGUGUCAGGUAUCAACAGUAAGCAUAUUUAGAUAACGACACACAAACGGUGCUGGGAUCGAAAAAUAAGUGCCCCAAGUCAUCCAUAAAAAUAUCAAUACAAUAUGAAGAUCUUACAGAUUAGAUAUGGAGUUGAAUGAUGAGAGCUUUAAUAAUUUUACGAGAAAAGUUAAAACCAUCUAAAUUUUGUACAGAUGCUAGCAGUGCAAAUCAAAGAACCUUGGAAUUGAAUUGGCUUUGUAGGAAACCUCAAUUUAACCACUGAACGACGUCAUAAAAAAAUUUAUAUGAAUUGAAUAAUUAACUCUAUGAAGCAAAGGCUUUCCUCACCCAUGAAAAUCUGCCUUCUAGUUUGGGAUAAAUUCUGGGCAGGCAUCUACUAGAUUACAUCGUCUGAAUCAUCCACGAGUCGCACCCAAAUCACUUUCGUGUUGUACUUCCAGUUAUCAGUAACGUGUAUGGCUGGCCGGAGCAUUU